rnacentral:lncRNA from 1 species
AGCUGCGUUUGGGUCCCCUUCGAUGGUGUUGGGGUUUUGUUGUUUCGCUCUUUGCAAUAAAUUUUGCUGUUGCUCACCUUUUAGGUCCACACUACCUUUAUGAGCUUUAACACUCACAGUGAAGGUCUGCAGGUUCACUCCUGUAAACCAGCGAGACCAGGAAGCCACCACAAGAAACAACUCUGGAGCCGCCACCUUUAAGAGCCAUAACACUCACUGUGAAGGUCUGUGGCUUCACUCCUGAAGUCAGCGACACCACGAACCCACAGGGAGGAGCAAACAACUCCAGACGCACCACUUUUAAGAGGUGUAACACUCCCUGCGAAGGUCUGUGGCUUCACUCCUGAGGUCGGCGAAACUACGAACCCGCUGGGAGGAAGGAACAACGCGGAUGCGCCACCUUUAAGAGCUGUAACACUCCCUGCGAAGGUCCGCGGCCUCACUCAUCAAGUCGUGCAUAGACCACGAACUCUCUAGAAAGAAAAAACUUCGGACACACCUGAACAUUUGAAGGAACAAACUCCGGACACACCAUGUUUAAGAACUAUAAUGCCGUGAAGGUCCGCGGCAGGACCGGGACCAGGAACUCUUCAGAGGGAACCAAUUCCGGAUACACAGCUUCGUGGAAUGGUUCUGCACUGUGUGUGUGUGUGUUUCCCGUCAACCCUGUGCACACUAUUAGAAGAACACAAGCGUUAAGGCUCCCUCUCAGUCCUGCCGGUUUUUUCUCAGUUGACUGCAUUACUUUACUGUGUUUCAACACUCCUGGCACAUGCAUGAAAGGCCCUAAGAUGAGUUCUGGUGGCAUAGAACUCCUUGGGAGAACAGAAAAGGCACCACAGAUCCCAUUUUGGGAGAAAUCUCUGUUUUCAUCAUGGAACCCCUGGAAU